CCUACGGGUGGCUGCAGUAGGGAAUAUUGCUCAAUGGGGGAAACCCUGAAGCAGCAACGCCGCGUGGAGGAUGAAGGUUUUCGGAUUGUAAACUCCUUGUGGUAGAGAAGAGAAUGACGGUAUCUAACGAAUAAGCACCGGCUAACUCCGUGCCAGCAGCCGCGGUAAUACGGAGGGUGCAAGCGUUACUCGGAAUCCCUGGGCGUAAAGAGCGCGUAGGCGGGAUAGCAAGUCAGAUGUGAAAUCCUAUGGCUGAACCAUAGAACUGCCUUUGAAACUGUGAUUCUAGAGUGUGGGAGAGGUAGGUGGCAUUCUUGGUGUAGUGGUCCACUCCGUAGAUAUCACGCGGAAUACUCAUUGCGAAGGCGACCUGCUAGACCAUAACUGACGCUGAUGCGCGAAAGCGUGGGGAGCAAACAGGAUUAGCUACCCGGGUAGUC
rnacentral:rRNA from 1 species